CCCAUCAACCCGUCAUCUAGGUUUUAAGCCCCACAUGCACUAGGUAUUUGUCCUAAUGCUCUCUCUCCCCUGUCCCCCCACCCCCUGAUAGGCCAUGGUGUAUGAUGUUCCCCUCCCUGUGUCCAUGUGUUCUCACUGUUCAACUCCCACUUAUGAGUAAGAACAUAUGGUGUAUGGUUUUCUGUUCCUGUGUUAGUUUGCUGAGGAUGAUGGUUUCCAGCUUCAUCCAUGUCCCUGCAAAGGACAUGAACUCAUUUUUCAUGGCUGCAUAGUAUUCCCUGAUUACACA
rnacentral:lncRNA from 10 species